GAGCAAAUGCUAAAAUGAAUUAAUAUGUUUCUGAUUAUCGACGAGUGCUUUAAAUAUUGAGCUUUUUAAAACUGAUGCUUU